rnacentral:ncRNA from 2 species
AGUUUUGACUCGGGGCGUCUAUUUAGACUGAGAAGCACCCGUAUUACCUGAUCUGGAUAAUGCCAGCGUAGGGAAGUCGGAAGUUUCACUC